rnacentral:rRNA from 1 species
UACGUAGGGUGCAAGCGUUAAUCGGAAUUACUGGGCGUAAAGCGUGCGCAGGCGGUUUUGUAAGUCUGACGUGAAAUCCCCGGGCUUAACCUGGGAAUUGCGUUGGAGACUGUAAGGCUGGAGUCUGGCAGAGGGGGGUAGAAUUCCACGUGUAGCAGUGAAAUGCGUAGAGAUGUGGAGGAACACCGAUGGCGAAGGCAGCCCCCUGGGUCAAGACUGACGCUCAUGCACGAAAGCGUGGGGAGCAAACAGG